rnacentral:rRNA from 1 species
GACCCGACUGCUAUCGGAAUAGGACUAAGCCAUGCGAGUUGAACGCUUCUUGACCAUGCGAGAAACGUAGCACACGGCUCAGUAACACGUAGUCAACCUGCCCUGAGGACGCGGAUAACCCCGGGAAACUGGGACUAAGCCGCGAUAGGCCACGACACCUGGAAUGGGUAGUGGCUCAAAAGGGAAGAUGGGCAUGUUUAUCCUCACGCCUCAGGAUGGGACUGCGGCCGAUCAGGCUGUUGGCGGGGUAAAGGCCCACCAAACCUGUAACCGGUACGGGCUUUGAGAGAAGUAGCCCGGAGAUGGACACUGGGACAAGGGUCCAGGCCCUACGGGGCGCAGCAGGCGCGAAAACUUCGCAAUGCGCGAAAGCGCGACGAGGCUAUUCCGAGUGCCGUCCGCUGAGGAUGGCUUUUACUAGGUCUAAAUAGCCUAGGGAAUAAGGGGAGGGCAAGCCUGGUGUCAGCCGCCGCGGUAAUACCAGCUCCUCGAGUGGUCGGGGUGAUUAUUGGGCCUAAAGCAUCCGUAGCCGGCUCUGUAGGUCCUCUGUUAAAUUCAGCGGCUCAACCGUUGAGCUGCAGGGGAUACCGCAAGGCUAGGAGGCGGGAGAGGCGGACGGUAUUCCGCGGGUAGGGGUAAAAUCCUUUGAUCCGCGGAGGACCACCAGUGGCGAAGGCGGUCCGCCAGAACGCGCUCGACGGUGAGGGAUGAGAGCUGGGGGAGCGAACCGGAUUAGAUACCCGGGUAGUCCCAGCCGUAAACGAUGCAAGCUAGGUGACGGAAUGGCUGUGAGCUAUUCCGGUGCCGCAGGGAAGCCGUUAAGCUUGCCGCCUGGGGAGUACGGUCGCAAGACUGAAACUUAAAGGAAUUGGCGGGGGGAGCACCACAAGGGGUGAAGCCUGCGGUUCAAUUGGAUUCAACGC